rnacentral:tRNA from 1 species
GCGGGAGUGGCGGAACCGGUAGACGCGCGCGGCUCAAAACCGCGUGGCCGCAAGGCCUUGUGGGUUCGAGUCCCACCUCCCGCA